rnacentral:tRNA from 1 species
GGGAGCUUAGUUAAGUGGUAUAACGAGCGUCUCCAAAACGCUAGUUGGAGGUUCGAUUCCUCCAGCUCCCG